ACUCCUACGGGAGGCUGCAGUGGGGAAUAUUGCACAAUGGGCGAAAGCCUGAUGCAGCAACGCCGCGUGAGGGACGAAGGCCUUCGGGUUGUAAACCUCUUUUAGUAGGGAAGAAGGGAGCUUGCUCUUGACGGUACCUGCAGAAAAAGCACCGGCUAACUACGUGCCAGCAGCCGCGGUAAUACGUAGGGUGCAAGCGUUAUCCGGAAUUAUUGGGCGUAAAGAGCUCGUAGGCGGUUUGUCGCGUCUGCUGUGAAAACUGGAGGCUCAACCUCCAGCCUGCAGUGGGUACGGGCAGACUAGAGUGCGGUAGGGGAGAUUGGAAUUCCUGGUGUAGCGGCGGAAUGCGCAGAUAUCAGGAGGAACACCAAUGGCGAAGGCAGACCUCUGGGCCGUAACUGACGCUGAGGAGCGAAAGCAUGGGGAGCGAACAGGAUUAGAUACCCUGGUAGUCCAUGCCGUAAACGUUGGGAACUAGAUGUAGGGUCCAUUCCACGGAUUCUGUGUCGCAGCUAACGCAUUAAGUUCCCCGCCUGGGGAGUACGGCCGCAAGGCUAAAACUCAAAGGAAUUGACGGGGGCCCGCACAAGCGGCGGAGCAUGCGGAUUAAUUCGAUGCAACGCGAAGAACCUUACCAAGGCUUGACAUAUACCGGAAACGGCUGGAAACAGUCGCCCCGCAAGGUCGGUAUACAGGUGGUGCAUGGUUGUCGUCAGCUCGUGUCGUGAGAUGUUGGGUUAAGUCCCGCAACGAGCGCAACCCUCGUUCUAUGUUGCCAGCACGUAAUGGUGGGAACUCAUAGGAGACUGCCGGGGUCAACUCGGAGGAAGGUGGGGAUGACGUCAAAUCAUCAUGCCCCUUAUGUCUUGGGCUUCACGCAUGCUACAAUGGCCGGUACAAAGGGCUGCAAUACCGCAAGGUGGAGCGAAUCCCAAAAAGCCGGUCUCAGUUCGGAUUGAGGUCUGCAACUCGACCUCAUGAAGUCGGAGUCGCUAGUAAUCGCAGAUCAGCAACGCUGCGGUGAAUACGUUCCCGGGCCUUGUACACACCGCCCGU
rnacentral:rRNA from 1 species